rnacentral:rRNA from 1 species
AUGAGAACUUUAUGCUGGAACUGUCGUGGGAUUGGCGACCCCGCGACAGUUCGUGAGCUCCGGGAGCUCAUUCAGGAAUGUGCGCCAUCGGUGGUUUGCAUUGUGGAAACACAACUGUCAAAACAGCGUGUGGAAGGCCUCACGGCAACGUUGGGGUUUGAAGGGGGUUUUGCGGUGUCAAGCAGAGGGAGGAGUGGUGGUUUAGAAGUUUUUUUGAGGCAUGGCUUAGAUUUCAGAAUGAAGAAUUUCUCUCGAUAUCACAUCGAUGCGUGGGUGGCAGAACCAGGAAAAGAGGAUUGGAGACUAACCUGCUUCUACGGGGAGGCAAAUAGAUCAUUACGUCAGAACACAUGGAACACGAUGGCUCGACUAAGAGGAGAGUCGACCUUGCCAUGGUUGUGUAUCGGUGACUUUAACGAGAUACUUCGCAGAGAAGAACAGAUUGGCCCUAAUGAGAGAGAUGAAGCCCAAAUGACAGGAUUUAGAGAAGCAGUGGAUUUGUGUAACUUGGCUGAUAUUGGCUAUAUUGGGCUUGAUUGGACGUUUGAGAAGAAGGUGCACGGAGGGCACUACUGUCGUGUGCGCCUCGAUCGAGCAUUGGCCUCACCGGAAUGGAGUGCAAUGUUUCCAUAUGCAACACUUAGACAUUUGCAAGCUGCAAAAUCAGAUCACUCAACCGAUUGUCUUAUGUAA